GUAGUUUGAUCUUGGCUCAGGAUGAACGCUGGCGGCGUGCCUAAUACAUGCAAGUCGAGCGAACGGACGAGAAGCUUUGCUUCUCUGAUGUUAGCGGCGGACGGGUGAGUAACACGUGGAUAACCUACCUAUAAGACUGGGGUAACUUCGGGAAACCGGAGCUAAAUACCGGAUAAUAUUUUGAACCGCAUGGUUCAAAAGUGAAAGACGGUCUUGCUGUCACUUAUAGAUGG
rnacentral:rRNA from 1 species